GCUGUAUUUCUAGCCCACUUCGCUUCGGAAGCGCAACGUCAUAAUUCACGUUCGAUGUUUAAACCCUGGAUACUAGGGUUUAUGAUUUUUGGUUAGGGUUUUGGUGUUUUAGCUACAAGAACAUCAAUGGAGGGAUUGAAGGUAUCGGAUGCGGAAUUGGUGGUGUAUUUACACCCAUCGAAGUCAAACAACGCCUCUCAAGCCAUUUUUGGUGAACUCGGUUCAAUGCUUUUCAAGUUCAAUGAGACAUUUGAUGGUGUUUUGCUGGCUUACAGUGCUUCUACCAAAAAUAAGUUGGCAAAGAUUCUUCCAGGCCUAAAUCCUUACUUCGGUGUGAGACUACAAGCACGAUUAUUACUUUUCUAUCCAAAACCAGACAUGCUUUUAGAAGGAAAGGUAGUUAAACUUGGUGAGCAGACUAUACACAUUAUUGUUCUUGGUUUUUCUUCCGCAACCAUUACAGAAGAAGACAUUCGUGAAGAAUUCAGUUACAAAGUUAAACAUAGAAAGGAAGUUUAUGCUAGCACCAUCGAUAAGCACCAUAAGAUAGAGAUUGGAACCGUUAUACGUUUUGUAGUCAAGAGUUUUGAUGAGGAAACACUCCAUAUAUCGGGAUCAUUGGUUCCACCUCACACAGGAAGCGUCAGCUGGUUGGAUAAACCUGCAGAAGAGGCGAGUCAUACCAAGAAGAGGAAAGGAUAUGAAAUGGAGACCGAUGAUUCAUUAUCUUUGAAAGCCGAUAACCGGAUGAAGAAGUCAAAGAAAAGCAGCAGUGACAGCCUGUCAGUACCCAAUUUACAUACUCAUUAAAAUUGUUGUUAUUUGAGUACUCGGAAACAGCCUCUCUACCUUUUGGAAUAGAGGCAAGAAGAUGACUUACUGAACUCAUGUUACGAAACAGCUGUCAAUUGGGUCAAACGUUGUCCGAGGAACAUACUAAGGGUAGAUCACAUUUGCUUGCACCCUCUUUAGAAACCCCAUUUGCUGCUAUAGCACCAUUAAUGUUAAGUUGAUAAAUCGGUUUUCGUAUUAUUGUAGUCAGCCUGAAUCUGGUGGAUGGACCUAUUUGUUUGACGCGUAAUGUUGUAAUAUUUUCAAUAUUUUCUAGUAACUAAAACUACACAAUUUUGAUGGAAAAGUAAUUUUACGCGAAAUUAUAGAUACGAUGACAAG